rnacentral:rRNA from 1 species
AACGAACGCUGGCGGCAUGCCUAACACAUGCAAGUCGAACGAUCCCUUCGGGGAUAGUGGCGCACGGGUGCGUAACGCGUGGGGACCUGCCCUUAGGUUCGGAAUAACUCAGAGAAAUUUGAGCUCAUACAGGAUAAUGUCUUAGGACCUAAGAUUUCUCGCCUUUGGAUGGGCCCGCGUUGGAUUAGCUAGUUGGUGGUGUAAUGGCCUACCAAGGCGACGUUCCUUGGCUGGUCUGAGAGGAUGAUCAGCCACACUUGAACUGCGACACGGCCCAGUCUCGGACGCGACGCAGCAGUGGAGAAUAUUGGACAAGGGGCGAAAGCCUGAUCCAGCAAUGCCGCGGGAGUGAUGAAUGCCUUAGUGUUGUAAAGCUCUUUGUCCCGAGAUGAGAAUGACAGUACCGGGAGAAGAAGCCCCGGCUAACUCCGUG